rnacentral:rRNA from 1 species
UACAGAGGUCUCAAGCGUUGUUCGGAUUCAUUGGGCGUAAAGGGUGCGUAGGCGGCGCGGUAAGUCGGGUGUGAAAUCUCGGAGCUUAACUCCGAAACUGCAUUCGAUACUGCCGUGCUUGAGGACUGGAGAGGAGACUGGAAUUCUCGGUGUAGCAGUGAAAUGCGUGGAUAUCGAGAAGAACACUUAGGGCGUAGGCAAGACUCUGGACAAAUGCUGACGCUCAUGCACGAAGGCUAGGGUAGCGAACGGG